rnacentral:tRNA from 1 species
UUGGGGAUCGUCUAAUUGGUAGGACAUCAGAUUCUGAAUCUGAGAAUCCAGGUUCGACUCCUGGUCCCUAAGCCA